GCCUGGGUGGCUCAGUCGGUUGAGCGUCCGACUUCAGCUCAGGUCACGAUCUCCCGGCCCGUGAGUUCAAGCCCCGCAUCGGGCU
rnacentral:tRNA from 1 species